AUCCGUGGUGUAGCAUUUUCUGAAAGCUGGCUGAAGCCAAUAGAUGACUGGCCUGUGGUUUCUCCUAGUGUAUCGGUUGGAGCAUCUUGUCCUGCAGCAUACCAAAAACACGGGGCUGGUGGAAGGCAGUGUAGAAGGCAUUCGUUAGCAUCUGAAUCUGGUACUACUAUUGAUGCUGACAACAGCUGGAGUUGGUGGAGCGGCGGAAGUAUUUCAAAAUGUAUUCUGCAGAGGGGGGCUCUUCAAAGGUCAUCCAUAAGAAAAGCUGCUCGUCAAGGUGGUAAAAAGAGGAUAGCAUGUUUAUCAUACCAUGGAGGUUUCAAUUUUCCAAGACAAUCUCAGCAAUUUGCUUGGAGAGCGUGUGUUGGACUAAGCCAGAAUUCAUCUCAACUUGCUUUGCAGGUUAGAUGUCUCAAUGCCCACAUUAGAUGGAAGGAAUUCAUCCCUCCAGAUCAAAUUCCUUCAGAUGGAGCAAGUUCUAAUGGUGAUUUCUGCUCUCAGAAAUGCUGUAGUCUGUGAUAAAAAAAUAAUUGACAAUAAGAUAAGAUAGGCACUUAAGUUUCCCAACCAGAAGCAUCUUCCUGUGCGUGUAAAGGGAAAUAUCUUGGAAUCAGAAGGUAAUCAUAAUGAAAAUAGCAAAUUGUGGUUUUGUGAAAACCAUGUGCCACUGUACAUGUUGCGAGAAUUUGAGCUGAAAGCUGGGAUUAGCUCCUUGCCUAGUCCAGGAAUUUCAGGUUCCAACUGUUUCACUAAUUUCUUCACAACGCGAGUAAAAACAUAUACUGGGAAUGUCUUUUCUUAUCUCUUUCACAAGGGAGAUGUGUAUCCAUGCACCUCAUGCAUGAAGGAUGUUCUAUUCAGGUUUUCAACCUUUCCUAUUUAGUGCCUUUUAUUCAUUUAUUCCUCUUUAUAAGAUUUUGGCAUUAUCUUCACCUUUUGUGUUGUGCUUUUGGAUGAAUUGCAUGCAGGGAUGUUGUUAAAUGCAGCUCUUGUCAAGGUAAUUGCCACAAAGAGUGCAGAACAAGAUCUGUUAGUGGCAAAGGAGGCAGUGCUACUUCGAAUUUGAUAUGCAAGUUAUGCGUCCAGAAGCGUAAUCUUAGGCUUACAAGUUACCAUAUGAAUGCAAGUUAUAUCCAACUCAACAGAUGAUUAAUGGUCAACAGCUAGUGACCGCUUCCAAAAUAAUCUUGAAGGUUGGCUCUUCCCAUUCUGCUGAACCUGCACUGAAAGUUGGAGCCCAGCCAGUCUCAAAGGUUUGCAAAGGUUACCAACCAGCCAAUUGUGAAUGUGAAAGCCCAACCACCUGCAAAGUUGGCAACCUUGCCAAUUACAAAUGUGGCAGCUAAAAAUAUCACUUGUGUCCAAGCUCAGCCAAAAAGUAAAAAAUCGAAGUCAGAAAAAGCAAAGAAACCUAAAAAUGUUCAAGCGAUCACAUAUUUCGGUCUCGUAUGGAAGAAACAUAAGAAUGAAAAAGACGCCGAAAAUGAUUUCAGAGCAAAUGAUGUAAUCCUUCAAAGCAAGGAUGGUAUAAGUUCAUCCAUGAGACCGACUUGUUGCCUCUGUAAUAAAGCUUAUUCUCCGGAUUUCCUGUACAUGUCCGCUGUGAGAGGUGCAGAAGCAAGUAUCUUUACCAUUAUACUAGCUAGGAGCAUUAUACUAGCUAGGAGUGUCAUGUCAGUUUUUUUAACAUCUUGAUAUUCCCUACGUACAGAUUGGU